UACGUAGGGUGCAAGCGUUGUCCGGAAUUAUUGGGCGUAAAGAGCUCGUAGGCGGUUCGUCGCGUCGGCUGUGAAAUCCCGAGGCUCAACCUCGGGUCUGCAGUCGAUACGGGCGGACUGGAGUUCGGCAGGGGAGACUGGAAUUCCGUGGUGUGCGGUGAAAUGCGCAGAGUAUCAGGAGGAACACCGGUGGCGAAGGCGGGGUCUCUGGGCCGAAUACUGACGCUGGAGGAGCGAAAGCGUGGGGAGCGAACAGG
rnacentral:rRNA from 1 species